rnacentral:misc_RNA from 1 species
GAUGAAGAACGUAGCGAAAUGCGAUACUUGGUGUGAAUUGCAGAAUCCCGUGAACCAUCGAGUCUUUGAACGCAAGUUGCGCCCGAAGCCAUUAGGCCGAGGGCACGCCUGCCUGGGCGUCACACGUCGUUGCCCCCCCAUCUACUCCUUCGGGAUUGCGGGGGGCGGAUGAUGGCCUCCCGUGCGCCUCGUCGCGCGGUUGGCAUAAAUGCCAAGUCCUCGGCGACGCACGCCACGACAAUCGGUGGUUGCGAAACCUCGGUUGCCCGUCGUGUGCGGUCGUCGCGCAUCGAGGGCUCGAAAAAAUUGCCGGGCUCUGGCUCGGCUUUCAACGCGACCCCAGGUCAGGCGGGGUUACCCGCUGAAUUUAAGCAUAUCAAUAAGCGGAGGA